rnacentral:rRNA from 1 species
UGGUGGCGACCGGCGCACGGGUGAGUAACGCGUAUGCAACCUACCUAUCAGAGGGGAAUAACCCGGCGAAAGUCGGACUAAUACCGCAUAAAACAGGGACACCGCAUGGUGAUAUUUGUUAAAGAAAUUCGCUGAUAGAUGGGCAUGCGUUCCAUUAGGUAGUUGGUGAGAUAACGGCUCACCAAGUCUUCGAUGGGUAGGGGUUCUGAGAGGAAGGUCCCCCACAUUGGAACUGAGACACGGUCCAAACUCCUACGGGAGGCAGCAGUGAGGAAUAUUGGUCAAUGGACGAGAGUCUGAACCAGCCAAGUAGCGUGAAGGAUGGAGGCCCUAUGGGUCGUAAACUUCUUUUAUAGGGGAAUAAAGUGCGGAACGUGUUCCGCUUUGUAUGUACCCUACGAAUAAGGAUCGGCUAACUCCGUGCCAGCAGCCGCGGUAAUACGGAGGAUCCGAGCGUUAUCCGGAUUUAUUGGGUUUAAAGGGAGCGUAGGUGGAUGUAUAAGUCAGUUGUGAAAGUUUGCGGCUCAACCGUAAAAUUGCAGUUGAUACUGUAUGUCUUGAGUGUACAAGAGGUGGGCGGAAUUCGUGGUGUAGCGGUGAAAUGCUUAGAUAUCACGAAGAACUCCGAUAG